GAUUCUAGAAUGGACUUUCUUUUGUACAAAGUGAUUGUAAUUGCGUCUUUACAACUUCAUGUACUAUCAAAAUGUACAGGCAAAACCGGACCUGAUUGCUGUUUUGGAUUCUCCUGGGAUUCUUUGAGCCAAAGUUGCAAACCGUGCAAACCUGGUUAUGAUGGGAUAAAUUGCAGUCAAGCAUGUAGAUACCCCAGCUUUGGACUGGAAUGUCAAGGAGAAUGUAAAUGUCCACCUGAAUUGUGUGACAUUUCAUUAGGCUGCGUGA